UGACUCCCUGAGAGUCCUGAAGGAACGUUGAAGACGACGACGUUGAUAGGCCGGGUGUGUAAGCGCAGCGAUGCGUUGAGCUAACCGGUACUAAUGAACCGUGAGGCUUAACCUUACAACGCCGAAGCUGUU
rnacentral:rRNA from 1 species